rnacentral:rRNA from 1 species
UACAGAGGUCCCAAGCGUUGUUCGGAUUUACUGGGCGUAAAGGGAGCGUAGGUGGCAGAUUAAGUCUGACGUGAAAGCUCUGAGCUUAACUCAGAAAUGGCGUUAGAUACUAGUUUGCUUGAGGAUUGGAGGGGAGAUUGGAAUUCUCGGUGUAGCAGUGAAAUGCGUAGAUAUCGAGAGGAACACCAGUGGCGAAGGCGAAUCUCUGGACAAUUCCUGACACUGAUGCUCGAAAGCUAGGGGAGCAAAC